UAACUAGUCGCGCACGGUGUGCGUCUGCUUUCAAUUUCUUUUCUAGGAGUAUCAGCAGAAGGGCCUGGUUCGAUUCCAGGCUGGGUCA